rnacentral:lncRNA from 1 species
AGUGAAGGCCUGGGGCUCCACAGAUAACCGGACUUGGCCCCACGUACUCCUGGAACAUGCCUAUUCUUGCCAUUCUGGGAAAGCCAAGGCUGAAUUGCUCAGCCUGACCCUGAACAGACCCUUGGCAUUCCCCUGGAAGCGGACUAGACAGAGGAGGGUUUUCACCUUCUCUAAACUAAAAACCAUUGUGUGCGCGCACAUCUGGCCCUUUCGCGGAGACUUCAGCCUUUCAAAGGAGCGAGACGUCUACCUUGGAGGAAGCUGUCGUGGGUUGUUGAUAUUCAACAGAAGUCAUAGUUUCGGCAAGAGCAGAAGCUCAGACACAGACGGAAGGGGAAAAGCCGGAGGAGGAUUCUAGAGUGUAUUCAGGGACGAGGCUGCUGACACAAACCACCACAGCUGCCCACUAACCAGU